rnacentral:lncRNA from 1 species
UGGAGUGGUGGCUUGCAGCAGGCUGGACGCGGGUGCGCAGUGGCGGUGCAGCAGCUGGCGCAGUCGCAACAUGCGCAAGGCAGCAGGUCGCCGGUGGGGACGCGCGGAGGCAGCGUCGACGCGCAGCGUGCGGGCGCAGCAGCAGCUAGCAACAGCCCAGUGCACGGGCGCAUGGUCGCGUCCUGGUCUGCUACUGCUACUGCUACUGCUACUCUACUCAAGUGCUCACAUGCUAUUUCUAAUCAGCUAAUGGCACUAAUCAUACCUGCGUGACUAUUCCAUAUUUUCUACUACUGGAUAGAGGCCUUUGCAGAGUACCUCCAUCGGUAUGGAAGAAAAUAUAUUGUUACUGACUUAUACGGAGUAUUUGUUAUUCCAUUGGAUAUACGGAGUACAACUUAUCUGUGACUGUAACCACAUGUGCAUAAGUUGGUUUAAAACUUUAAAUGGGCUUCCCUGAAGACAUCGUGAGAAGUGCUCUGAAGAUUGUCGACGGCGACGAGAACAUGAUUCUUGAAAAGCUCUGCUCUGUCUGAGGCCCUAUGGUCGAUAUGAACUGUAAAUUAAAUCCCCAUUUGUAAUAAGACAACAGUGCUUGCUAAUGCUCAUUUUCUGUCUUUUCAGUGUGCCCUUUAUGACACCUGUAAAAUCUAUUAGCUUGAGGCACACAUUAAGUUUUAUGUUAUUUUUGUUACAAGUAUAACGGUUAUGCUCAUGAAUAAAUGGAAAUGGUGUGAAUUGAGG